CCCCUAGAUGUUCUGGGCCGCACGCGCGCUACACUGAACAGUUCAACAAGUCUUAACCUUGGCCGAUAGGUCUGGGUAAUCUUUGAACGCUGUUCGUGAUUGGGAUAGACCUUUGCAAUUAUGGGUCUUCAACGAGGAAUUCCUAGUAAACGCAAGUCAUCAGCUUGCAUUGAUUACGUCCCUGCCCUUUGUACACACCGCCCGUCGCACCUACCGUUUGAAUGGUCCGGUGAAAUCUCGGGACGGCGGCUUGGUCGCUUGCGUCCGACUGCUGAAACUUGAUUAAACCAUAUCAUUUAGAGGAAGGUGAAGUCGUAACA
rnacentral:rRNA from 1 species